CUCAGGACGAACGCUGGCGGCGUGCUUAACACAUGCGAGUCGAACGAGCUCCAACCAGUGGCAACACUGGGGAAGAGCGAGUGGCGAACGGGUGAGUAACACGUGAGCAACCUGCCUCGAAGACCGGGAUAACAGCGGGAAACCGCUGCUAAUACCGGAUACCCCCAUCGGGUCGCAUGGCCUGAUGAGGAAAUGAAUUUCGCUUCGAGAGGGGCUCGCGGGCUAUCAGCUUGUUGGUGGGGUAACGGCCUACCAAGGCGACGACGGCUAGCUGGUCUGAGAGGACGACCAGCCACACUGGGACUGAGACACGGCCCAUACUCCUACGGGAGGCAGCAGUGGGGAAUCUUGCGCAAUGGGCGAAAGCCUGACGCAGCAACGCCGCGUGCGGGAUGAAUGCCUUCGGGUUGUAAACCGCUUUCAGCAGGGACGAAAUUGACGGUACCUGCAGAAGAAGCCCCGGCCAACUACGUGCCAGCAGCCGCGGUAAUACGUAGGGGGCGAGCGUUGUCCGGAUUCAUUGGGCGUAAAGCGCUUUAAGGCGGUUCGGUAAGUCGCGUGUGAAACCUCCAGGCUCAACCUGGAGAUGCCACGCGAUACUGCCGUGACUAGAGUCCGGUAGGGGACCACGGAAUUCCUGGUGUAGCGGUGAAAUGCGCAGAUAUCAGGAGGAACACCAGUGGCGAAGGCGGUGGUCUGGGCCGGUACUGACGCUGUAGAGCGAAAGCGUGGGGAGCGAACAGGAUUAGAUACCCUGGUAGUACACGCCGUAAACGUUGGGCACUAGGUGUGGGGGGUUAUCAACGCCUUCCGUGCCGUAGCUAACGCAUUAAGUGCCCC
rnacentral:rRNA from 1 species